GACGAACGCUGGCGGCGUGCCUAAUACAUGCAAGUAGAACGCUGAAGGAGGAUCUUGCUUCUCUGGAUGAGUUGCGAACGGGUGAGUAACGCGUAGGUAACCUGCCUGGUAGCGGGGGAUAACUAUGGGAAACGAUAGCUAAUACCGCAUAAUAGUAGAUGUCGCAUGACAUUUGCUUAAAAGUUGCAAUUGCAUCACUACCAGAUGGACCUGCGUUGUAUUAGCUAGUUGGUGAGGUAACGGCUCACCAAGGCAACGACACAUAGCCGACCUGAGAGGGGGAUCGGCAACACUGGGACGGAGAGACGGCCCAGAAUCCUAGGGGAGGCAGAAGUAGGGAAUCUUCGGCAAUGGAAGGAAGUCUGACCGAGAAACGCUGCGUGAGUGAAGAAGGUUUUCGGAUCGUAAAGCUCAGUUGUAAGAGAAGAACGAGUGUGAGAGUGGAAAGUUCACACUGUGACGGUAUCUUACCAGAAAGGGACGGCUAACUACGUG
rnacentral:rRNA from 1 species